rnacentral:lncRNA from 1 species
UCUUAGUUUUCCAUAGAUUCACCUGCAAGUUACCUGUCCAUUUAAACUUUUGGCAGUUCUAUUGUCCCAUCUAACAAAUACAACAGGUAUUGUUCUCUGUGUAGUUUAUUCACUGGGACCUUUACAUUUCUUCCAAGAGAAAUAUAUCACUCAUUGAUUAAUUUACCUGAACAAAAAAUUGAACUGUCAAUGAAGAAAAAAUACUUAUACCAAUACUAAGUAAGGACUCACAAAACUGCAUGUGGUGUUUUAUUUAUUCGAUACCUGGAGUAACUCGUUUUUAAUGUGUUCAAUCUUACAUUUGUAAUACUGAUUCAAAAAUUAAAAGUUGAUUUCUGAUCAAAUAUUCAAUAUUUUUGUGUGUUUGAUAAAUAAAAAUUUGAAUAUUAUUAUUUUUAAAUUAAGGUCUUCAUAAACAUAAGUCUAUAAAUGAACAACAACAAAAACAUGUAAAUUCAUUGGAAAAUACUAAAAAAUGUGUCUGAAAUAAACUUUUUAGUAUUAAACCAGAUUUUAUAUUGAACAGAUUGAAAAUAUAUUAAUGAUAAUAUUGAAUAAAUACAAUAUUGCAUACAGUUUAUGUGAGUUAUUAGAAGUAUUUCAAU